AUUUGUUACCUUGAUUUGCUAAUGAAUAUUAAUUAAAUGAUUUGAUUUUUUCAUUAUAAUAAUAAUCAAUUUUCUUAAAAUCAUAUUUUUUUAAGAGAUAUUGAUGCUGAUAGGUGGAGAUUGCUCUGUCUUGCCUUUGGGAUUUCCUGGGUUAUUGAGUUAACUUCCCAUAAAAGCAUGAUAAGGCAUCUAAAACCUGUCAUGUAAAGCAAAUCCACAUUCCACCUUUGAUGUGACCAAGACCAGUAAACAACACAAGAUAAUGGACAACUGAAUCAAGAAUUGGAUCAAAGUGUAUUUUGUUGUCAAGAUGCUACAAAAAACAUAAACGAAAAAGAAAACAGGGUUUUCAAAGCAUCUUAACUGAUUUUAGAAAGAAUGGUAGGAGGCACAUCUUCUGUUUGGCAUGCUCCAAUAGAAUUCCAAUUUCUCCUUUGCAUUCGGAAGCAGAGCCUGAUUCUCAAAGUAAUCCUUGAUCCUGGUGAAGCCAUUGUUCAUUGAUUAGCAGCCAUUAGUCCUUUCAUAGAUAUUUAGUUUAAUGGAUAUUAAUAUUAGUUAUACUCAGAUUAAAAGAUAGUUUAAUACAUUCAUGUUAUUGAAUUGAAAAAAAUUUCUGUUUAGUCUUUUCUGGAAGCACAUACAGAAUGAUAUGAAAGUAGCUUGAAUGUGUCAAAUUAUAUUAGCAAUAUUUGCGAUUAUUCGCUUAUUCUAGCAAUGAUUCCUAUACUAGCAAUGGUUAAUGUUAGGAGUCUUAAUCUAUCUAUUUAUCUUCUAGCAGUCUUCUUCCUGUUUUUUGUCCGUCAAAAGAACAGUGGUUUACCGAUGUAUUCUUCGCUGGUCUUUUGCAGUUUGAUUAUAUUGUGUUUGGGCAUAUUGGUUCUAACUUCUGCUCAUUAUAAACUCCCUUUGCAGUACAAUACAUCCUUGACAUCAUAUUUGCAGAAGAGAUAUGUUGAUUUAAAUUAUAUCUGUUGUAGACAACCUUGGAUUCCCUGAUUUUGUUGAAGUGCUGGGAAGACUGAAACCUCUUGGUUUUGUCAACAUGCUUGUUUCUUGCUGCUGAAAGUAUUAGACUGCAUCAACACCCCUACAUUCCAUUCAUUUUCAAGUGUGGUAUGCUAAUUGGAAGUUUCCCUUAGGUGAAGGCAUUAAUUUUAUCCUAGUCAUUUGAUAAUGAAUAAUCCUGACUAGAUUUUUUGCACUCUAAAAUGUUUAAUGCAUUAGUUCAAGCAAUGCCUUCACUUCUGAUUGUAUAUAAGCUUGCAAAAUGAUAGCUUUUGGAAUGAAAUUGCUUCCAAAUGUCAUCAUUUUCUGAUGGAGCAGUGUAUUUAUGUUCGAUCCUUGAGUUUUGCUUAUAAUUUGUCAAUCACAGUUGUACAUUCACCCAUUACACUCUUUCCUUUGACUGUGGUUUCCCUUUUUGAGCAUUUAGACUUUACUUUCACACUUUAUUCCCCUUGACUAUAGUUUUCAUUUUUAGCAUUUAUACUUUACAUGAUUGGAAGAGUAAAAAAGAGGUGUAACAAAAUACUAGUAGAAAAUAUAGAUAUAUGUAAGGGAAGAAAAAUUGAUGUAGUGUAAAACAAGAGUACCCCUUUGCUAAGUAGGGUAGAAAAAUGAGAAAGUAAUGAACACUAGUAGUAUAUUAAUUAACUGUAUCAUCCUCUUCCUCAUAGGCUACAUGAAGCCAUGUAGAAGGUAACUUCAGGAAAAACAGGAAAAGAAAAAUUUGCAAAUUUUCAGAAUUUGUCUCAUCUUUAAUCUCUUGCCAAGCUUACUCCUUUUUUGCAGACCAUCUUCCAUGGUUCCAAUUUUCUCUGUGCCAGGCAUGGUCUUACUGAUACUCAUACAUUGAACUGUUUAACUCUAAUAUAGAAUUUAUCAGGGUAAAGGUUAUGGUAUGGUAUGACUACACAAAUGUCAUUUCCUAGUAUUUACAAACAAUGAUUUCUAAUGAGAAAACAGGUCAAUCAAGCUUUGAUUGAGUUGACAUUGACUCUUUUAACUUUUGCUUCUAUUCUUUUUUCUGAGUUGUCAAUUUGUUGAUUCUCAUAGCCAUAGUGAGCCUACUGUCAUUAUACUGAUCUAAAGCUAAGAUUCUCUCUUUUUUUUUUUAAAAUUUUUUUGGUGGGGGUGUGCUAUGAUCUGUUAUAGGUAUGCACAAACUCAACCAAGCCAGCUACUUAACCCCUCCCCAAGAUGAGAUAUAGGAAAAGGAAGAAGAAGAUUAGAAAAUAAGUUGGUAGGGGGAAGGAUUGCCUCUUGUAAAUUAGGAAAAUCACUUUCUAUACCAUCCAUUUCUAUAUCUAAAUUCUGGAUUUAUUAGCUCUUUUCGAAACCCUAAUUUCAAAUGAUUCAAGUAGUUUGUUUCUUCCUACAUUAAACAAUAGUAGUAUUCUUAAAGUACUAUAUCCAACAAAUGUGUUAAUUAGAGUGCCAUUUUUCACAUUUAUAUCAACUUUAAAAGAAAAAUCUUGUAAUAAGAAGAAAGAAUAAUAAAAAUAUAUGACAUGUAUUCGUUAUUUUUUUUAAGUGAAAGUUCUUUACUUAUAAAAACAGGAUUUAUUUUAUUUUUUAUUGAUAUAAGAUACGUAACAUUUUAUCUCAUUCAAUUGGAUAACAUAAUUAUCGUAUCAUAUUUAAACUAAUCCAGACCUUCAGCUAUUACAAUAUUUCUCCUGUACCAAUCCUUUUUUUUUUUAUUUUGUUGUGGCUGGUAGGUAGCUUAGCCAUUAAAGCUGGGGAUCCAAGAUUCAAGUCAGCUGGCAAAUCUCUUCCCUUCAAAAAAGGAUUAGAGGGAGUUCAUUCCCAUCUUCUAUGAAUGUUGAUUAAGAAUGAUAAUUCCAACAUAUAAUAUGAUUUGAAAAGAGACAUCUAUAUAAAUUGAUUAGAGUUUAAAAUUCAAUAUGAAAAUUCAAUUUAGAUAUCAUGUCUGUAUGCAUAAUUACAUCGAUUUUAAAACAAAUAUCUUUACUUUUGCAUAAAAAUCAAUCAUCUUUUUUAUUAAUCAUGUUAUAUCGUAAUCAAAUUGAAUGUUUUUACAUCGAAUUAGAUUUAGAUUUUAUUAAUAAUUUUACAUUGAUUUGACUUUUGUACGAAGUAAUUAUUUAAAAGUUUUUGUAUCAGUUACUUUUAUAUAAUAUUAUCGUGAAAUCGAUAGAUGAAUAUAUGAUUAAUUGGAGAAAACUAUUUUUUAAAAUUAGAGAAAAAUAACAGAUGGUCUUUGCUCAUGAAAAUGACUAUGAUUAGCCACUCAAAGCAUAUUUGAUUAGGGGAGGGGGGGUCUCAAUUAUGAUUAUGAAAUGGGACAAGGGAAGUGGGACCCAUGUUUGGAUUCAAAGACAAUUUUUGUGGGGCCGAGGAUUAGAUUUCCACGUGGGGUUGUUAUUCUCUGCUGUCAUGUCGUUUCCAUCAACUACUUCUCCUCCAACAGAGUACAAUCCUCGACAGCAAAACAAAUCAGCUCUCAAUAUUUUGCAUCACGCGUUUGCUGUUCUGUGGCUCGUUUAUUGGUCGUUGUUCUACACGCGCUUUUAUUCGUACGUUGAGUUCUCUUAGUUAUUUUUUGCCCGACGUGUGAUUUGGAUCCCACAUUCUCCGCUUUUUCUUUACCCAUUUUUCAUCUUCUUUUUAGCACCUUUUACUUUUUAGUGGCAUAAAGAAAUAAAAAUUCUAAUAUUGCGCAUUUUAAAUAAUUAUCCUAGAUAUUAAUUUUUGGAAAAUAAUUAUUAAUAUUAUUAUUCUCUGUAAUAUAAAUAUUAUCAAAAAAUUAAUUAAAAUUAAACUAGUUAUGAAAAAAAUUAAAAAUAUAUCAUUAAAUGAUUUUUUUGGUCGUAUGUAAUCUUAAGCUAUAUAAAAAGAGAUAAGUAUGUUAUUCUAUAAAUUAUGCUCUCUCUCUCUCUUUAUAAUUUGAACUCAAGAUUUUCAAAUGAAAAAGUUUAAAUAAGUUAUUAUUCUUUUAUUAUAGUUAAUCAAAUUUUUAUAUUUUUAUUUUAAAUCAAAUAGACACUUAUAUUUGUCGGUUGACUAAUUAUUAUUAAUGAAAAUAUCACUAGUCAUUUUUAUACCCAUUUGACACUAACAUGACGCUGACAUUAGGAAAAAAAAUAUCUCAUGAUUAUAUCAUCAUAUCACAUUAGUAUACUACAUCAUCAUCUAUUACGACAUGUUAACAUCAUGUGAUAUAAAAUGACAAAUGAUAUUUUGAUUAAGAAUAAUUAAUCAAUAAUUGAUUUUAAGGAUUUAUCUAGUUCAAAAUAAAAAUACAAAAACUUGAUUGAAUAUAAUAAAAGAAUAAACAAUUAUUUAAAUUUUUUUAAAUAGUUCAUAGACUUUUUUUAAGUAUUAUGCCAAAUAUCAUAUUUUUGUUACAUCGAAAUGUUUUUCGGAGACUAAAUUAUUAAGUUCCUGUGAAUUACAUCUUUCGACAAAAUAAAUUUUUAUUAGAAAAAAUGUAUGACUUAAUUAAGAUGAUUUUUUCCAUAUAUGUGAUUACAAUUAGCUCCAGAUCAUCCAUAUAAUGUCAAUCACAUGUCACAUUUGUUAUAAAGCAUUUGAGCAAAUGCAUAUGGUAUCCAUAUGGAUAUCACGUGUCACUUGAUCUCAUUUUUGGCAUGAUACAUUAUUUGAUCACAUCCCAUGUUGUCUUCUUCCAAAUAAUAAAUACACAUCAAUUAUAUGUCAAAGUGAAUACAAGCAAUGGCAUACAUGUGCAUGUCACGUGCUAGUUCAUUUCCUUUAUAAAUAUACAAAUAAUAAUUAUAUACUAUCAUUUAAUCAUAAAAUAUCUCGUAAAUUUAUAAAAUUAGAAAUUUAAAAUAUAUAAAAAUAAAUAAUUUUAAAAUUUAUUUUAUAAAUGAUAUGAUAAUGACAUUGUAACAAACAUGAACGUAUGAUGUAUUUCUCUUUGAAAUAAUUUGGACCAACCUUAAUUGAGUUUAGCACUUUGACUUUGAUGUUUUUUCAAUCACACAUCAAUUAUGUCAUGAUAAGAUUCGAGUGAACACAUAUAACAUACAUACAUGUGAACGUCACAGGUUAGUUGAUUUUCUAUUUGAUGUGAAACAAAUAUCUCACCAAAUUGUUUCCCUUUCAAACAUUUCACUCUUUAAUUGUGUUUCUCAUUUUAAUUUAUUUUAACCUUAUUUCUUUCAAAAUGCUCUUUUAUUAUUGCAUAAUAUUUAAAAAAAUUUUGAAUUAUUUUAAAAAAAUUCAAAUAAGUAUUAUCCUUUUAUUGCUUUCAAUUAAACGCUUAUAUAUUUUUUAAUCAAAUAAGUUUUUAUAAUUAAUGAUUGACUAACUAUUAUUAAUUAAAAUAUUUCUUGUCAUUCUAUGUUGCUUGACGUUAAUGUAUAACAUGUUGGUAUGUCAUAUGAUAAUAACAUGACAUACUAAUUUAACAAAAUGUUAUAGCAAUAUGAUAUUUUUCACUUAACAAGUUAUCGUCAUAUAGAUAUAAAAUGAUAUAUGAUAUUUAAACUAAUGAUAAUUAGUCAACCCGUAAUUAUAAAAGCAUAUUUGUUCAAAAAUAAAAAAACAAGAACUUAAUUGAAUGUAAUAGAAUAAUAAAAAUUUAUUUAAAAUUUUCUUGAAUAGUUUAUGAGUUUUUUCAAACAUUAUGCGAUUGUUAUUUUAUUCACUUUGACAUUUCAAAAAAAAAAUUAUUCAGUUUAUUCCUUUAUUCAAAUUCAUAAAAUUAAUUCAAACCAAAUUCAAAACUUUUAAAAGAUUGGAGAUGGGAUUUUUUUUAUUAUCAAAAAAUCGAUAUUUAAUCCAACUCUUUGAAUAAGAUACAUAUGCACUUAAUUAUAAUAAAAUGUUUUAAUUUUUUUUUCUCUUUAUUUGCGAUCCUUUUUGUCGAAGAAAAUGAAGGAGAAACAACUUUUCUUCCUCUCUUUUAUUUUUCUUUUCUCAUCUUUUUCUCUAAUUAUUAUUUUCUUUUCUUCAUGUAACAACUACAAUUUACCUAAUAUUAAUCAAUUUGGUAAACUAUAAUGUGCUAUUAAUUAGUUAACCCGGUUAAAUUAUACUCCUAACAUAAUUUCAUUGUCUAUUUCAUUUCUCUAUUAAUCAAAGGUGUUAGAAACAAACUUGAUGAAAUGUAUACUUGAUAUGCCAUGUGGAACUUCUAUGCUGGUACGGAGUAUCCCAUGCGACAAUACGAGGUAAAGAUGAAUUAAUUUUUCAUUCAACACAUGUCGUGUGACACCUCUCGAGGGAGUAUCAUUAAUAUAUAUAUUUUUAAUCAUAUUUAAAAUAUUUAAAUUCUGUUUGAUGGAUAAUUUUAUUCUUUUUACUUGAAAAAUCGUUAUAGUCAAAAACAAAGAAACAUAAAAUAAUAUCAUAAUUAAUUUAAGAUAGAUAAAUAACAAAAAAUAACACCUAUUUACAACAUAAUUAAUUAAUAUAAAAAAAUCCCAAACAAACAAUAUUCUCUCACAUGCAUAGAUAUGCCGUCAAUAAAAUCUACUUUAUCAGAAUCUGUGUAGGAGCACGGGUAAGGAUUAAUUAAUGCUUUGAUGAAAUCUGUUAUUAUCUAAAACUAAUCAUUACACUUUGAUUAUACAAUCCCACUUUCCUCUUUCAUCAGUCUUUAUUCUCCAUCAUCCAAAGGGACAUCCAAGAAUUAGUAUUUAUUAUUAUUAUUUUUUUAUCUUUCCCUUGGAUAUAAAUCGGGGUGAUCAGUUUUCUUCUUUUGGGUUUAGGGUUUUUAUUAGAUUUUGCUUCCUUCAAAUCAAAGAUGGAAACCCCAUUUCAAGACUGAAAUUUAACAGUUUAUGCAUUGCAUAAAGUGAAUGUUCAAGAAUUACCACACUGGCAUGAUCUGAUCUGGAGUCCCAUCAGUGCAGAAAGACUGAAAUUUUAAGGAAUCACCAAGCCCAAAAAAAAAAAAAGGGUCAAAAUUAGAAAUAAAAAAAAAAGUAAAUGGGGAAAGAGAGAACCGAAAAUAAGAUGAUUUUUUUUUUGUAAUUAAUUGGACAAAACAUGAGUAAGCUGAUAAGAAGUUGAGAAAUUAUGCUAAGAAGCAAAACUCUAAGACUAGUAUAAGAAGUUGAAAUGAAAUAAGUAAUUAACACUAUCCUUAAGUAUGCAAGCAAGUAAAAGAAAAGGAUCAAACUGUAGGUCUGGGAUGGAAAGAUAAAACUUAAGAUUCAGAUUCUUUCACUGAAUCAAGUUUUCAAGCACAAAAUUCACACCAUAUAAUUUCAAAGAGAAAAACUUGUUAUGGUAAGGGAGGAGGAGAAGCCAAGGAAAGGAGCAUAUAUAGUGAAAGAAAAUUAAGAAAAGAUGAUCAUUAUAUUUGAUAUACACAUAUAACAAAAAAAAAAAAAAAGGAAAGAAAAUCUAAAGCUAGUAGCAGGUAGCUUCCAAGCAGCAACACAUGUAGAGAUACUUCAAAUUUCUCCCCCCAUAUAUUUUCAGUCUUGCCAGCAGAGAAGCAUGAUAAUACAUCUUCUUAUUAUGUAAAGCCUACCUCUUUCUUCCCUAAGGAACCCUCCAAUUCCCUUGCAUGGACACCUCCUCUUAGACCCUCCAAUUGUAGAGUUUUUCAUCUUCAUCUCUUCUUUGUCAAUAAUGGAAUUUAUUUGCCUUUUCUUUUAAAUUCUAAUUGGUUGGCUUCAAGAAUUCAGUGAACCUUUUUUGCUCUCAGUUCUCUCUGCUGGAUGGAUGGAUCAUUCUUGGAGUUUGAAUGAGGGGCUUAGCUUUCAGUAAUGAUUGACUCUUCUCUUUUUUUGAGAGGUUUGCAUGAACUAGAAGAGCAGGAAAGAAAAGGGAGUGUUCUUAUAGGGAGGAGAAGGUAUGGUCGAGGCUCCACCUGGGCCCAAAUAAAGGAAACCGAAUGUGGUUGAACAAAGGGAUAUGUUUGUGUUUUAUGUCUCUCUUUUCACCGGGCACUGCACUUUGGACCCCAACCCUAUUAUCUGGAAAUAUGUUCAGAAACCAAACAAAAAACUCCCCAUCCCUGCUUUCUCACUUAUGCUUCAUCUCUCUGACAUCUGUAAGCAAGCCUAGGGACAUUUUCUUGGUCCAAU
rnacentral:lncRNA from 1 species